UACGGGGGGGGUAAGCGUUGUUCGGAAUUACUGGGCGUAAAGGGCUCGUAGGCGGCCAACUAAGUCAUACGUGAAAUCCCUCAGCUUAACUGGGGAACUGCGUGUGAUACUGGAUGGCUUGGAUUUGGGAGAGGGCUGCGGAAUUCCAGGUGUAGCGGUGAAAUGCGUAGAUAUCUGGAGGAACACCGGUGGCGAAGGCGGCAUCCUGGACCAAUAUUGACGCUGAGGAGCGAAAGCCAGGGGAGCAAACGGG
rnacentral:rRNA from 1 species